UACGGAGGGGGCUAGCGUUGUUCGGAAUUACUGGGCGUAAAGCGCGCGUAGGCGGACCUGCAAGUCGGGGGUGAAAGCCCGAGGCUCAACCUCGGAACUGCCUUCGAUACUGCGGGUCUCGAGUCCGGGAGAGGUGAGUGGAAUUCCUAGUGUAGAGGUGAAAUUCGUAGAUAUUCGGAAGAACACCAGUGGCGAAGGCGGCUCACUGGACCGGCAUUGACGCUGAGGUGCGAAAGCGUGGGGAGCAAACAGGG
rnacentral:rRNA from 1 species